rnacentral:rRNA from 1 species
CGGGAAACUGAGUAUAAUGCCCGAUAGAACACUAUACCUGGAAUGGUUUGUGUUCCAAAUGAAUGUCGCCGUAGGAUGGGACUGCGGCCUAUCAGUUUGUUGGUGAGGUAAUGGCCCACCAAGACUAUUACAGGUACGGGCUCUGAGAGGAGUAGCCCGGAGAUGGGUACUGAGACACGGACCCAGGCCCUAUGGGGCGCAGCAGGCGAGAAAACUUUGCAAUGUGCGAAAGCACGACAAGGUUAAUCCGAGUGGUUUGUGCUAAACGAGCCUUUUGACAGUCCUAGAAACACUGUUGAAUAAGGGGUGGGCAAGUUCUGGUGUCAGCCGCCGCGGUAAAACCAGCACCUCAAGUGGUCAGGAUGAUUAUUGGGCCUAAAGCAUCCGUAGCCGGCUCUGUAAGUUUUCGGUUAAAUCUGUACGCUCAACGUACAGGCUGCCGGGAAUACUGCAGAGCUAGGGAGUGGGAGAGGUAGACGGUACUCGGUAGGAAGGGGUAAAAUCCUUUGAUCUAUUGAUGACCACCUGUGGCGAAGGCGGUCUACCAGAACACGUCCGACGGUGAGGGAUGAAAGCUGGGGGAGCAAACCGGAUUAGAUACCCGGGUAGUCCCAGCUGUAAACUAUGCAAACUCAGUGAUGCAUUGGCUUGUGGCCAAUGCAGUGCUGCAGGGAAGCCGUUAAGUUUGCCGCCUGGGAAGUACGUACGCAAGUAUGAAACUUAAAGGAAUUGGCGGGGGAGCACCACAAGGGGUGAAGCCUGCGGUUC